GCCCGAGUCAUUGGAUUGCUGAACGGAUCCAAUUUGAAGCAAUAAAGCGCGGCCAUAGCAGGCGCCAGAAACCGCGACUCAGCGAAUAUCUCAGACUUCCUGAACCAGCGGCAGCUAGAGAGAGAUUGUAAAACCUAUUUCUUGGAGAAGGGGUUUUGUGAUUCUUCGUCGUCCUGUGAAUCCAAUAUAUAAGCAGUCGCAGUAGCAGCAGUAGCAGCAGCAGCUAAAACACGAAACCCAGAAGCAGAAAGAUGGAGAAGGCGGUGGCUGUGUGCGGAGAAAAAGCGCUGGAUCUGCUCAACUGGGUCGCUCAUUCGCCCUACGAUCAGGACAAAUGUGUCCGUCUCUUGCAGGCUUUGCGAGAUUGUGUCGACAGUAAGGUAGUGAUACAAAAUCCCAAUUGGUCCUCCUGUUCGUGAUUUCUCGUCAGUUUCUAUAUGAUUGCAAAGUGGGUUCCCUGCUUUUCUGCAGAAUUUGUGACCUUGGGGGCCGUGGCCUAGUGAGUUGUGUGUAUGAGGCCGAUUUUGAAUCUUGAUUGAAUUUGAGGGAUUUUGAAUAUUGUUUGAGUUUUGAGUUCUCUUUUUUUAAUAAAGUUCAUUUCUUAAGUUAAAUGUAGAUUGGCUGCACAUGAGGGAAAUGAGGUAAGCUUGAUUGAAUCCAGGGGAUUUUUGAAUCUUAUUUUGAGUUCCUUUUUAUUGCUAGAGUUUAAUAGGAAUUAUAGGAACGAACGCCAUUAGGCUCAGUUUGUGGUAUGAUAAUUGACUGGUCAUAGUUCAAAAUCUGAUAGUACAAGCGAGCAAUUGAGAUGAAUGGUUUGUAUUUUAUUAAUUUCACUAGAUGAUUAGAGUUUUGUCUGCAACAGUAGAGCCACAUUUUGAAUCCCAGUUGGGAAGAAUGAAAGAAUGCAGAUUUCUGGUUGAUGUUGGACCUCUGUUCUCACUUCCCUGUCAUUGUUCCUUGUUUCUUCUAAUCUCAAUGUAAAACGUUUUCGAUUGUGUUUAAGAUGGUUCUCUAAUUCGUUGUGUAACAAGGUGGCUAAUUUGAUCGAGACUGGUUCGGCAAGUGGAAAGUGGAAUGAAAUUUUGAACAUUCUCAUGUUCAAUGUAUCCACCUUGGUUGGUGCUCCAACACCAAGCAAAGGUAGUCGUUGGAAACAUUUUGAAAGGUCAGUGAACCAUGAGCAACCCACAAGGGCCAUAAAGUGUGAGUUUUGGAACCCUAGAGUCGCCACCAUGUCCAUUGCAAAUCUUAGGAGGGCAUAACAUGCAUUGAUCCCCAAUGUGGGUACACAGCACAAUAACUCGGUCUUCGCCGUCACCGUAGGCAUAACAUCGCCAAAGAGAUGACAGUUCAAUGCUCAAGAAGUUGGAUCCGACCAAGUGAUUUUGUGGAGCUAAAGUUUUGAUGAGGUAGAGAAAAGACAAGCCACCAAACAAGAUGAUAUCAUUAACAUCAGCCACAACAUCCAUCCCACCACCACAUUCCUUCUUCACCAACACAAAAGAAACCCAACAAUAAAUAACAGCAUUCAAACCCGAAGAUCCCCCCUUAAAUACAGAAGACCCCUAAGGUUCUACAUAGCAUCAUCAACCCAGCUCUCCAUUAACCAAAAACAAACAACGCUGACCAAGUACAAAUCGUCAGAAACAAAGAUUCAAAUGUCUGCUGCGUGAAUCAAAUAAGUCAAUACCAAAGCCAACAGCAUCAACACAUACGCAAUCCCUUGGUCAAUCGACGUCCCUGCAAAAGCACAUUGUGAAAAUCCGGUAUUAAAAAAUCGAUCUUUACGAGAAACCCAUCUCAGAUCUGGAAAAAAAACUGACCAUCGCUGGUGGGUGCAGGAGCAGGAGCCGUGAUCUGGGCCUGAACUGCAGCAGGCAAGGCAAUGGCGAAGAUUAGGAAGACGGCAAUAGCUCCCACGCCCAUUCUUGAAACUGCCAUUUUUUAUUUUCUUUCUGUCCGGAGUUUUCUUAGUCUCUCUCUCUCUCUGCAGACGGGAUUGAUAAAUUGGUGAGUCACUCUUUCUUCAGAUUUCUCCUCCCGACAAAGAGGAGAAAUCGAAGAGAGAGGCCGCAGAGAGGCCGACGAAAGGGGGUUCCUCCUGAAACGAAGCCAAAUCCAACGGAUGCGUUUGCCUUUUUGGAUGAAGAAGAAGGAGUCGGGUUCGUUCUUCUGGGUUGACGAUUUUAUACAGAUCUCUUUCUCUACUGAAUUGGCCGAUGUGGCGAUAAAAGCGGGUGUUUUUUUUUUGGGGAGACGUACGUAAUUAACAAACUCCAACUGGAACAGUUGGAUUUGAAUAAUCCGGGGAUGUUCUUGUUUCUGUGUGCGAUUAUGCGAUAAUGGACAGGAGAACAUUGUGGGCCCCGCGACCAUGUUACUGCCCAUGUGACCGUCCGGCCACCCUGCUUGGUUGGUGCUUACCGACCGUCGAGUUCAUAUCACACAUACAUAUCCUUUGUUAGAAGAUAUGGAGGUUGCAUGACAAAAUUUGCUAUCAUAAGUGAGAACGUAGGUGGGUCUUUCGUGGAGUAGGGUAGUUGUUUGCGUAUGUUGAUAAUUGAUUUGAUGUUGUCUUGUUUAUUUUCGAUAAGAAAUAUUUUGUUAGAAGAUAUUGAGGGUGCAUGACAACAUUUGCUAUUAGAAAGUCGGUGGUUAUCUCGUGGAGUACCGUAGUUAUUUGCGUUGUAUGUUGCCGAUCUGAUGUAUAUUUUGUUUAUCUUCAGCAAAACGAAACUGUCAUGUGGGUCGACCUGUGGUGGCAGAUAUAAGGGCUACAUUAGGCCACAACUCAUCCCAUUUUCGGAUCUAGAACUUCGAUAGUAUGUAAUUUUUCUUAUAUUCAAAGUUAGCUACUGUACUUUCUAUAAACAGUCCAAUGUAUUUCAAUUUCUGUACAAUUUGGCCUAAUACAUAUGCUAUUUUUGGCAAUUAGAA
rnacentral:lncRNA from 1 species